AUUGAACGCUGGCGGCAGGCCUAACACAUGCCAGUCGAGCGGAUGAAGGGAGCUUGCUCCUGGAUUCAGCGGCGGACGGGUGAGUAAUGCCUAGGAAUCUGCCUUGUAGUGGGGGAUAACGUCCGUAAACGGGCGCUAAUACCGCAUACGUCCUGAGGGAGAAAGUGGGGGAUCUUCGGACCUCACGCUAUCAGAUGAGCCUAGGUCGGAUUAGCUAGUUGGUGGGGUAAAGGCCUACCAAGGCGACGAUCCGUAACUGGUCUGAGAGGAUGAUCAGUCACACUGGAACUGAGACACGGUCCAGACUCCUACGGGAGGCAGCAGUGGGGAAUAUUGGACAAUGGGCGAAAGCCUGAUCCAGCCAUGCCGCGUGUGUGAAGAAGGUCUUCGGAUUGUAAAGCACUUUAAGUUGGGAGGAAGGGCAGUAAGUUAAUACCUUGCUGUUUUGACGGUACCAACAGAAUAAGCACCGGCUAACUUCGUG
rnacentral:rRNA from 1 species